rfam:Triticum aestivum genome assembly, contig: Triticum_aestivum_CS42_TGACv1_scaffold_131750_2BL
CAGCUACUCCCUUCGUCCAAAAAUACUUGUCCUAGAAAUGAAUAAAAUGGAUGUAUCUAUAAUUAAAAUAAGUUUAAUAAAAUGGAUGUAUCUAUAAUUAAUAUAAAUUUAGAUGCAUCCGUUUCUAGCACAAAUAUUUCUGGACGGAGAGAGUAUACA